rnacentral:rRNA from 1 species
GUGGCCAAGUAUGUGUGGCAUACGGUGGAUGCCUUGGCACCAGGCGCCGAUGAAGGACGUGGGAGGCCGCGAUAGUCCGCGGGGAGCUGUCAACCGAGCUGUGAUCCGUGGGUGUCCGAAUGGGGGAACCUAGCCCGAGUUGUGUCGGGUUGCUGCCGUCUGAAUGUAUAGGGCGGUUAGUGGUGACGCGGGGAAGUGAAACAUCUCAGUACCCGUAGGAAGAGAAAACAAAAUUGUGAUUCCCUGAGUAGUGGUGAGCGAAAGGGGAUGAUGGCUAAACCGUGUACGUGUGAUACCCGGCAGGGGUUGCGUGUGCGGGGUUGUGGGGUGCAUCUUGCCUGGUCUGCCGGCCGGGCGCGCUGAUGGCUGUUCUAGCUGAAUCCGUUGGGAAGCGGUACCGGAGUGGGUGAGAGUCCCGUAGGUGAAGGAAUGGUCUAGGUGUUGGUGUUUCCCCGAGUAGCGCGGAGCCCGUGGAAUUCCGUGUGAAUCUGGCAGGACCACCUGUCAAGCCUGAAUACGUCCUGGUGACCGAUAGUGUACGAGUACCGUGAGGGAAAGGUGAAAAGUGCCCCGGUGAGGGGUUGUGAAAGAGUACCUGAAACCGUGUGCUGUCAAGCCGUCAGAGCCUGUGCUUUUGGUGUGGGUGAUGGCGUGCCUUUUGCAGAAUGAGCCUGCGAGUUGUGGUGUGUGGCGAGGUUAACCCGUGUGGGGUAGCCGUAGCGAAAGCGAGUCUGAAGAGGGCGUAUUAGUCGCAUGCUGUGGACCCGAAGCGGGGUGAUCUACCCAU